rnacentral:rRNA from 1 species
UACGUAGGUGGCGAGCGUUGUCCGGAAUUACUGGGUGUAAAGCGCGUGUAGGCGGGAGGCCAAGUCUGUGGUGAAAUCGCUCGGCUUAACUGGGCGGGGUCCAUGGAAACUGGUCACCUGGAGGUCGGUAGAGGCAAGUGGAAUUCCCGGUGUAGUGGUGAAAUGCGUAGAGAUCGGGAGGAACACCAGUGGCGAAGGCGGUUCUCUGGGCCUUACCUGACGCUGAGGAGCGAAAGCGUGGGGAGCGAACAGG